rnacentral:rRNA from 1 species
GACGAACGCUGGCGGCGUGCUUAACACAUGCAAGUCGAACGGUGAAGCGCCUUCCUUUUUGGUGGGUGUGGAUGAGUGGCGAACGGGUGAGUAACACGUGAGUAACCUGCCCCCUUCUUCUGGAUAACCGCAUGAAAGUGUGGCUAAUACGGGAUAUUCUGGGUCUGUCGCAUGAUGGGUCUGGGAAAGAUAUUGUUUCGGUGGGGGAUGGGCUCGCGGCCUAUCAGCUUGUUGGUGGGGUGAUGGCCUACCAAGGCGGUGACGGGUAGCCGGCCUGAGAGGGUGAACGGUCACACUGGGACGGAGACACGGCCCAGACUCCUACGGGAGGCAGCAGUGGGGAAUAUUGCACAAUGGGCGCAAGCCUGAUGCAGCGACGCCGCGUGAGGGAUGGAGGCCUGCGGGUUGUGAACCUCUUUCGCCAGUGAAGCAGGCCUGCCUCGUUUGUGGGUGGGUUGACGGUAGCUGGAGAAGAAGCGCCGGCUAACUACGUG